GGGUAGUUUGACUGGGGCGGUCUCCUCCCAAAGAGUAACGGAGGAGCACGAAGGUUAGCUAAUCACGGUCGGACAUCGUGAGGUUAGUGCAAAGGCAUAAGCUAGCUUGACUGCGAGAGUGACGGCUCGAGCAGGUACGAAAGUAGGUCUUAGUGAUCCGGUGGUUCUGAAUGGAAGGGCCAUCGCUCAACGGAUAAAAGGUACUCCGGGGAUAACAGGCUGAUACCGCCCAAGAGUUCAUAUCGACGGCGGUGUUUGGCACCUCGAUGUCGGCUCAUCACAUCCUGGGGCUGAAGUAGGUCCCAAGGGUAUGGCUGUUCGCCAUUUAAAGUGGUACGCGAGCUGGGUUUAGAACGUCGUGAGACAGUUCGGUCCCUAUCUGCCGUGGGCGUUGGAAGAUUGAGAGGGGUUGCUCCUAGUACGAGAGGACCGGAGUGAACGCACCACUGGUGUUCGGGUUGUCAUGCCAAUGGCAUUGCCCGGUAGCUAAGUGCGGAAAAGAUAAGCGCUGAAAGCAUCUAAGCGCGAAACUUGCCUCAAGAUGAG
rnacentral:rRNA from 1 species